GCAAGUCGAACGGUAACAAAGAAUAGCUUGCUAUUUUGCUGACGAGUGGCGGACGGGUGAGUAAUGCUUGGGAAUUUGCCUGAUGGUGGGGGACAACAGUUGGAAACGACUGCUAAUACCGCAUAAUGUCUACGGACCAAAGCAGGGGACCUUAGGGCCUUGCGCUAUCAGAUGAGCCCAAGUGGGAUUAGCUAGUUGGUAAGGUAAUGGCCUACCAAGGCGACGAUGGAUAGCCGGCCUGAGAGGGUGAAC
rnacentral:rRNA from 1 species